GAUCCUGUCGUAUAGUGGUCAGUACCCUGCGUUGUGGCCGCAGAAACCUGGGCUCGACUCCCAGCGGGAUCA
rnacentral:tRNA from 1 species